GUUGGUGAGGUAAUGGCUCACCAAGGCGACGAUCCGUAACUGGUCUGAGAGGAUGAUCAGUCACACUGGAACUGAGACACGGUCCAGACUCCUACGGGAGGCAGCAGUGGGGAAUAUUGGACAAUGGGCGAAAGCCUGAUCCAGCCAUGCCGCGUGUGUGAAGAAGGUCUUCGGAUUGUAAAGCACUUUAAGUUGGGAGGAAGGGCAGUUACCUAAUACGUGAUUGUUUUGACGUUACCGACAGAAUAAGCACCGGCUAACUCUGUGCCAGCAGCCGCGGUAAUACAGAGGGUGCAAGCGUUAAUCGGAAUUACUGGGCGUAAAGCGCGCGUAGGUGGUUUGUUAAGUUGGAUGUGAAAUCCCCGGGCUCAACCUGGGAACUGCAUUCAAAACUGACUGACUAGAGUAUGGUAGAGGGUGGUGGAAUUUCCUGUGUAGCGGUGAAAUGCGUAGAUAUAGGAAGGAACACCAGUGGCGAAGGCGACCACCUGGACUAAUAC
rnacentral:rRNA from 1 species